GCUGGAAUAGCUUAGUUGGCAGAGCGUUAGACUGAAGAUCUAAAGGUCCCUGGUUUGAACGCAGGUUCCAGCA